rnacentral:rRNA from 1 species
AUUGAACGCUGGCGGCAUGCCUUACACAUGCAAGUCGAACGGCAGCACGGGAGCAAUCCUGGUGGCGAGUGGCGAACGGGUGAGUAAUAUAUCGGAACGUGCCCAGUGAUGGGGGAUAGCCCGGCGAAAGCCGGAUUAAUACCGCAUACGACCUACGGGUGAAAGCAGGGGAUCGCAAGACCUUGCGUCAUUGGAGCGGCCGAUAUCAGAUUAGCUUGUGGUGGGGUAAAAGCCUACCAAGGCGACGAUCUGUAGCUGGCCUGAGAGGACGACCAGCCACACUGGGACUGAGACACGGCCCAGACUCCUACGGGAGGCAGCAGUGGGGAAUUUUGGACAAUGGGCGCAAGCCUGAUCCAGCUAUGCCGCGUGCGGGAAGAAGGCC